GUGGGGAAUUUUGGACAAUGGGCGCAAGCCUGAUCCAGCAAUGCCGCGUGCAGGAAGAAGGCCUUCGGGUUGUAAACUGCUUUUGUACGGAACGAAACGGUCCGGGUUAAUACCCUGGGCUAAUGACGGUACCGUAAGAAUAAGCACCGGCUAACUACGUGCCAGCAGCCGCGGUAAUACGUAGGGUGCAAGCGUUAAUCGGAAUUACUGGGCGUAAAGCGUGCGCAGGCGGUUUUGUAAGACAGGCGUGAAAUCCCCGGGCUCAACCUGGGGAUUGCGCUUGUGACUGAAGGGCUGGAGUGCGGCAGAGGGGGAUGGAAUUCCGCGUGUAGCAGUGAAAUGCGUAGAUAUGCGGAGGAACACCGAUGGCGAAGGCAAUCCCCUGGGCCUGCACUGACGCUCAUGCACGAAAGCGUGGGGAGCAAACAGGAUUAGAUACCCUUGUAGUCC
rnacentral:rRNA from 1 species